UACGGAGGGGGCUAGCGUUGUUCGGAAUUACUGGGCGUAAAGCGCGCGUAGGCGGCUUUGUAAGUUAGAGGUGAAAGCCCAGGGCUUAACCCUGGAAUUGCCUUUAAGACUGCAUCGCUAGAAUCGUGGAGAGGUGAGUGGAAUUCCGAGUGUAGAGGUGAAAUUCGUAGAUAUUCGGAAGAACACCAGUGGCGAAGGCGACUCACUGGACACGUAUUGACGCUGAGGUGUGAAAGCGUGGGGAGCAAACAGG
rnacentral:rRNA from 1 species